rnacentral:rRNA from 1 species
GUGCCAGCCGCGCGGUAAUACAGAGGGUGCAAGCGUUAAUCGGAAUUACUGGGCGUAAAGCGCGCGUAGGCGGUUUGGUCAGUCGGAUGUGAAAGCCCCGGGCUUAACCUGGGAAUUGCAUUCGAUACUGCCAGACUAGAGUGUAGUAGAGGGAAGUGGAAUUCCAGGUGUAGCGGUGAAAUGCGUAGAUAUCUGGAGGAACAUCAGUGGCGAAGGCGACUUCCUGGACUAACACUGACGCUGAGGUGCGAAAGCGUGGGGAGCAAACAGGAUUAGAUACCCCUGUAGUCC